AUCUAGCCGAUGAGUCCCAGAUAAGACGAAACGCGCGUCCUGUAU
rnacentral:hammerhead_ribozyme from 1 species